rnacentral:RNase_P_RNA from 1 species
ACCGCAAAACGUUCUAUCGCUGCCCUGUUUGGGGCGGAGGAAAGUCCGGGCAACACAGAGCAUCCUGCUUCCUAACGGGAAGGCGCCGGCAGCCGGCGACAGCAAGUGCCACAGAGAAUAUACCGCCCGCAAGGGUAAGGGUGAAAACGUGAGGUAAGAGCUCACGGCUUUUCCGGGCGACCGGAAUUGCGGUAAACCUCAGGAGUUGAAAAACCAAAUAGGUUCUGAAAGCGGGGCUGCUCGCUCCCACUUACGGCUUUGGCUGUAAAGUUCAGAAUGGGUAGGUUGAUUGAAUUUGCCGGCGACGGUAAAACCAGAUUAAUGAUAGAAGCUCUGUAAAGAGUACAGAACCCGGCUUACAGAUUUGCUGCUGUA